rnacentral:rRNA from 1 species
GUUUGAUCCUGGCUCAGGAUGAACGCUAGCGACAGGCUUANCAUAUGCAAGUCGAGGGGCAGCGGGGAGUGAGGCUUGCCUUACUCUGCCGGCGACCGGCGCACGGGUGAGUAACACGUAUGCAACCUACCCUUUACAGCGGGAUAACCGGAAGAAAUUUCGCCUAAUACCGCAUAUACUCCUUGGGAGGCAUCUUCCGAGGGGGAAAGAAUUUCGGUGAAGGAUGGGCAUGCGUCGCCUUAGUUAGUUGGCGGUGUAACGGACCACCAAGACGACGAUGCGUAGGGGUUCUGAGAGGAAGGUCCCCCACACUGGUACUGAGACACGGACCAGACUCCUACGGGAGGCAGCAGUGAGGAAUAUUGGUCAAUGGCCGAGAGGCUGAACCAGCCAAGUCGCGUGAGGGAAGAAUGUCCUAUGGAUUGUAAACCUCUUUUGUCAGGGAGCAAAGUCACCCACGUGUGGGUGUUGGAGAGUACCUGAAGAAAAAGCAUCGGCUAACUCCGUGCCAGCAGCCGCGGUAAUACGGAGGAUGCGAGCGUUAUCCGGAUUUAUUGGGUUUAAAGGGUGCGUAGGNCGGGUUUAUCAAGUUCAGCGGUAAAAUUCGUGGAGCUCAACUCCAUCCAGCCGUUGAAACUGAUGAUCUUGAGUGGGCGAGAAGUAUGCGGAAUGCGUGGUGUAGCGGUGAAAUGCAUAGAUAUCACGCAGAACUCCGAUUGCGAAGGCAGCAUACCGGCGCCCGACUGACGCUGAAGCACGAAAGCGUGGGUAUCGAACAGGAUUAGAUACCCUGGUAGUCCACGCAGUAAACGAUGAAUACUAAUUGUGUGCUCCGAAUGAGGAGUGCGUGAUACAGCGAAAGCGUUAAGUAUUCCACCUGGGGAGUACGCCGGCAACGGUGAAACUCAAAGGAAUUGACGGGGGCCCGCACAAGCGGAGGAACAUGUGGUUUAAUUCGAUGAUACGCGAGGNAACCUUACCCGGGCUCAAACGCAGGAGGGAUGUUUUUGAAAGGAGGCAGCUCUACGGAGUCUCCUGCGAGGUGCUGCAUGGUUGUCGUCAGCUCGUGCCGUGAGGUGUCGGCUUAAGUGCCAUAACGAGCGCAACCCCUACCGCCAGUUGUCAACGGGUAAAGCCGGGAACUCUGGCGGGACUGCCGGCGCAAGCUGUGAGGAAGGCGGGGAUGACGUCAAAUCAGCACGGCCCUUACGUCCGGGGCGACACACGUGUUACAAUGGCAGGUACAGCGGGAAGCCACUUGGCGACAAGGCGCGGAACCCGAAAACCUGUCUCAGUUCGGAUUGGAGUCUGCAACCCGACUCCAUGAAGCUGGAUUCGCUAGUAAUCGCGCAUCAGCCACGGCGCGGUGAAUACGUUCCCGGGCCUUGUACACACCGCCCGUCAAGCCAUGGAAGCCGGGGGUGCCUGAAGUGCGUGACCGCAAGGAGCUUNAAAGGAGGUAAAANCCGGUGACUGGGGCUAAGUCGUAANCAAGGUAGC